rnacentral:rRNA from 1 species
UACGUAGGUGGCAAGCGUUGUCCGGAUUUAUUGGGCGUAAAGCGCGCGCAGGCGGUCUUUUAAGUCUGAUGUGAAAGCCCCCGGCUCAACCGGGGAGGGUCAUUGGAAACUGGGAGACUUGAGUGCAGAAGAGAAGAGUGGAAUUCCACGUGUAGCGGUGAAAUGCGUAGAGAUGUGGAGGAACACCAGUGGCGAAGGCGACCCUUGUCUGUAACUGAGCGCUGAGGCGC